AUAAUUGCUGUAAAGUAUAAAGAUUAUACAGUGAUGAAAGCAUCAUGAUGCUAUCAGGAAUGGGAUUGGAGAUGGGUCUGCUUACAAGCCACUGACUGCAGAAAGCAAGCAUUCGCUAGUGUUUACCGAUUUGAAAUCCAUGUUUAUUUACUGAGAGGAGAACAAUCUUGCUCUGGAAUUUUGCCUACGAGAACAGACUAAUACAGUACACACAUUUAUUGGUGACAAUAAAAGUCAAAUCUAAUCAAGGAAGUUGAAGAAAACACACGGAACACAAAACUGUAUCUGCCGGGGAGUUGAUGUUGCUAA